CAGCUUAGCACUCGGGAGUAAGUCAGAUAGGGAAGAGAGUAAGCAUAAUGAUGGCCAGAAAAAAUGGCUUGCUUCGUCUCACUGGGCUGCUGCAGCUCAAUUUGCCCUUGCCGUCAGUCUCACCUCAUCACAGAAUGACCUGAAAAGAUUGGAAGUGGAAGAAGAGAAUAGCAUACUCAAGAAAACAAGGGAUGCUGUGAUAACUUUGCAGGGGGUUCUGGAAAGGAAGCAUGAUAGAUUGAUAGAGAAAUCGAGGAAUCUUUAGACCAAUACCAAAUAUCCUCAGACAGUUGGUGGUCAUCACUCUACAAGAUGAUUGAAGGUCUUGCAAUGAUGAGCAGACUGGCCAGGAGCAGGCUUCAUCAAUCAGACUUUGGUUUUGAUGAUAGAUCAAUUAACUUUGAUCAAGUUGAUAUGUAGCCAAAGCUGCACUGUUAUAUAUUACCUCUGCUUCAAAAUAAUUGUUCAUUUGGACAAACAAUUAUUGUGAAUUGCAGGGAAUAUAACAUGUGCCACAGUCCCACCAACUGACUCACAUACCCAAGGUUGUGCUAACUCUAUUUUUGGCAAUGUAGCUCCAUCACUCAGCCAUGAGACAUGAGUUCGAAAAUGCAAUAAGUUUCAUUUUGAUCUUAAUCCAGCAAUUAACCCAAUUUCCCUUA